rnacentral:rRNA from 1 species
CCUACGGGUGGCAGCAGUGAGGAAUAUUGGUCAAUGGACGAGAGUCUGAACCAGCCAAGUAGCGUGAAGGAUGACUGCCCUAUGGGUUGUAAACUUCUUUUAUAUGGGAAUAAAAUGUUCCACGUGUGGGAUUUCGUAUGUACCUUAUGAAUAAGGAACGGCUAACUCCGUGCCAGCAGCCGCGGUAAUACGGAGGAUCCGAGCGUUAUCCGGAUUUAUUGGGUUUAAAGGGAGCGUAGGGGGAUUGGUAAGUCAGUUGUGAAAGUCUGGGGCUCAAACGUAAAAUUGCAGUUGAAACUGGCAGUCUUGAGUAGAGUAGAGGUGGGCAGAAGUCGUGGUGUAGCGGUGAAAUGCUGAGAUAUCACGAAGAACUCCGAUUGCGAAGGCAGCUCACUGGACUGAAACUGACGCUGAGGCGCGAAAGUGUGGGUAUCAAACAGGAUUAGAUACCCUUGUAGUC